rnacentral:sRNA from 1 species
AGGGCAGGGGUCCAGGAGGGGUUCCCUGGGUCCACGUCUAGCCAGCGCCUCCCUUCCUGGCUGACCACUUCUAUCCCGCAGUCCCCUUCUGGAAGCCAUGACGCUGAUGGAGUACCUCAUCAAGACCGGCUCGGAGCGCGUGUCGCAGCAGUGCAAGGAGAACAUGUACGCCGUGCAGACGCUGAAGGACUUCCAGUAUGUGGACCGCGACGGCAAGGACCAGGGCGUGAACGUGCGUGAGAAAGCUAAGCAGCUGGUGGCCCUGCUGCGCGACGAGGACCGGCUGCGGGAAGAGCGGGCGCACGCACUCAAGACCAAGGAAAAGCUGGCACAGACCGCCACGGCCUCAUCAGCAGCUGUGGGCUCGGGUCCCCCUCCCGAGGCGGAGCAGGCGUGGCCGCAGAGCAGCGGGGAGGAGGAGCUGCAGCUCCAGCUGGCCCUGGCCAUGAGCAAGGAGGAGGCCGACCAGCCCCCGUCCUGCGGCCCCGAGGACGACGCCCAGCUCCAGCUGGCCCUUAGUUUGAGCCGAGAAGAGCAUGAUAAGGAGGAGCGGAUCCGUCGCGGGGAUGACCUGCGGCUGCAGAUGGCAAUCG